rnacentral:misc_RNA from 1 species
AACGCACAUUGCGCCCCUUGGUAUUCCGAGGGGCAUGCCUGUUCGAGCGUCAUUACACCACUCAAGCCUCGCUUGGUAUUGGCAGGACGCGGUUCCGCCGCGCCUCUCGAAUCGACCGGCUGAGUUCACCUGUCUCCUAGCGUUGUGGAAAUCUAUUCGCUAAAGGGUGUUCGGGAGGCUACGCCGUAAAACAACCCCGUUUCUAAGGUUGACCUCGGAUCAGGUAGGGAUACCCGCUGAACUUAA